ensembl:lncRNA
CCUCCCCGCCGCGCCUCGGCUCGGCGCCCCCCGCGCCUCCGAGCAGCCGGCAGCAGCUGAGGCAUCCUCCGUGCGGCACCUGAAUGCAAAUCGAAGCCACAAACAAUUAAGCCUCCUCUCGGCCGUUCCCAGGCCCAGCCCCGCGGCGCCGCGCUCAGCCCCUGGCCGUGUGAGCGUCUGCCCCAUCGCUAUGCACAGACGCGCACCGAUGUUUGUCACCGUCGGUUUCCACGGAGCCCGAGCUCAGCGUGGGGGCUCCGUCUGGUUCACCUCAGUGAUGCGUCCCGUGCUCCUGCCCCCCUCAGCGGGGAGCUGGGCGCUGCUUUCACUCUGCUGGGCGUCGGAUGAUCGAUAGCGCAAAGGAUGGUCCGGGCAGCACGCUGGGCAGGCUGGGUUCGCUGCUGCAGCGGUGUGCCGGCUCACAGGGGACGCGGCAGGGACCCCAGUGCUGCAUCCUGGUGUAAAGGACAGACUGCGUUUCUCCACCUCCCAACCCUGCUGCACAACAGCAGCACUUGUGCCAGCAUCUGCAUUUGCAGCUGUUUUGUGCGCCUUCAGGUAUCUGCCAGUUUUUUCCUCAAAACCCCCGUGUGGGAGAUGAGUGAUAAGGCCAAAAUCUGGUUGCCAUCAAAAAAGAGUUCCGCAGAGCUCUGCUAUGAUACACACAGUACAGAGCACACCAAGUGUUGUCAGUGGGCUGCGGGAACUGGGACAACCAAACACACAGACGGAGGGGGAACACACCAAAUAGUGACCCUGGGCUGAGGAGCCCUGAGCUGGGACAAACAUACCAACAAAUGAAGGACUGCACUGGGCGGUGGUAUUGGGCGUCCCCGCAGCCCACCCCGGUCAGCUCCUGUUUGGGAUGCUGUGCCCAAAUGGGGCACCGGGCGGCUGUCAUCUCCUGCCCUGCACUCCGAUCUGCCGCAGAGAGCUGAGAGAGGAACCCCACCCUUACAGAGAGGGAAAUCGCUGCUGCUGGCGGCACUUUUCUCCCGGCUGCUCGGUUAUUUUUGUUAACGCUUAUUAACGGGGCUUUGCGAGAGGGCUCUUCGUGGAGGGCUCACACUCACUUCAAUUAAAGGCGAAGGGAACCACCCGAGCGUAUCACUGAGUCAUCGAAGAAAUCCUGAUCAGUACGGAGGAGGCCAAACUCCUUUUGGUUAUUUUUACAGUAAACCGAGAGGGCAUAAAGCACCUUCAGGAACAGAAGUGAGCAGAACGUUCAGCACAUCCCUACUAAGUUGUAAGGGGAGGGGAUGGGGAGCAGCAGCGGGAUCCUCUCGAUGAGCGUGGCUGGGCCGUGAGCGGGGGACGGGGAGCAGCCCCACAGAGCUGGGAUGUCCCACUCAGAAGGCUGCAGGGAGCGGAGCGGGGCAGCACAGACGGCCCCAAGGGGAGCACGAGCUGCAGGAUAGUGUUGGUAAAGGGCGAGCCCAUGCCAAGCCUGACAAACUUCCCUUUGUGCAGAAUCAUAACUGGAAAUAUAAAAAGCCACAGUGUUUGAAAACACCUAUUUACAUUUUCUAUGCCCCAAAGCACAAUAAACAAAGGUUAGAUUUUAAACCCUCUGUCUUAAUUAACGCGGCACUGCUUUGGACAAACCCACACAGCAGGUGACUUGGCGCGCUGCGCUGUUUAACUUGUACCUUCCAGCUGCCUUAGUCACCGAGCGGGGACGGCGAUAACAUCAGCAGCCACCACUGCCGCCGGGGCGCGCGGUGAAUGUGCAGCGGGACUUUGCGGGGCGGUGGGAUCCCCCCGGCCCACUUAGCGCCCGCCUGCGGCAGCUCUUCCUGCCUCUCGGGGCAAAACCUUCCCCG